rnacentral:rRNA from 1 species
AUUGAACGCUGGCGGCAGGCCUAACACAUGCAAGUCGAGCGAGUGGCGGACGGGUGAGUAAUGUCUGGGAAACUGCCUGAUAGAGGGGGAUAACUACUGGAAACGGUAGCUAAUACCGCAUCCCAUCGGAUGUGCCCAUAUGGGAUUCGCUAGUGGGUGGGGUAACGGCUCACCUAGGCGACGAUCCCUAGCUGGUCUGAGAGGAUGAACAGCCACACUGGAACUGAGACACGGUCCAGACUCCUACGGGAGGCAGCAGUUGGGAAUAUUGCACAAUGGGCGCAAGCCUGAUGCAGCCAUGCCGCGUGUAUGAAGAAGGCCUUCGGGUUGUAAAGUACUUUCAGUCGGGAGGCGUUACCCGCAGAAGAAGCACCGGCUAACUCCGUGCCAGCAGCCGCGGUAAUAC